rnacentral:siRNA from 1 species
ACUAGACUUACACCGAAUUCCAAC